rnacentral:lncRNA from 1 species
GUGCGCUUCCGAUCUCUUGCUCAGCGGCACAAACUGUCCAUAUACUUUUGCCCCACAAUGCAACUGUGCCAUUCUCAGUGGUCCGUAUUGGGAAGCACUCCAGAUCUACAAACACUAUGAUGUGCUGUUGGCUGCUAGAAAAUGACUCUUUUAUAACAGCGAAGUUUUGCACAACAUAGAAAGGGUUAUGAAUGUAAAAAUGGCCAUCCACUCCCAUUUGUUGCACAAAGCUACGAUAAAAUUCAUAUGGAUUUCUCAUAAAGAACAGCAUUUUAGUUGGCGAAAAAUUUGACAUGGUCCACAGUUUGAACUCGAGAACGACUUUUUUUCGGGGUGGUCGCUCUACCAUUUAAGCUAACCAGUAUGCUAGUAAUCAAAGUGCGAGGGCAAAUUCAGUUUGAAGCGCAUGGACACUGAAUAUGACAAAUGAGUUCUGUGGAAAGCACAGUACGUAUAAGUAGCUUAUAACCAGCUGCAAGUAAUGUUUUUUCUUUCAAGUUUGAUUUUCAUAAAUAGAUAUUAACGCAGAAUCUUCUGCUAAAAGCUGCUGCACGUUUCCACAGGACCCAUUUGCCACAUUCUGUGUGCUUCGACUUUUCAACUAAUUGGCCCUUACACUGCACAUUGCUAGCGUACUGGCUAUCUCAGUUGUAGAGAAACAGCCCUGGAAAGGUGUUGGUUCCAGGCUUGAGCCCAGGA